UACGAUUGAGACAAUAACUUCGGAUAUAUACUCAAAAUUGGCAUACAACCUAGAAGAUUAUGCAUAGGUGGACCUGUCACAAACAGAUAUCUGCAGAAAACAUUGACACAAGAGCACUGGAUGGCUUUCCUCUCAACAAAGUUUGCAAAAUUGAGCCUUAACGCUCACCUUGGCUUCAAAGGAGUUUAUCAUUUUUCUAGGAGGAGAAAGCCUGUGCGCUUGAGCUCUGCUUUAUGCCCUCUAUCGCCUCUGCAUGCGUUCUCGACGCUAAUGCGAAACCAUCACUUGGAAGAGAAGACUUGGACAGGAUUGCCUUCGUUUCCUCCCUGUGGUAAAAUAGUUUUCUACCUCUGUUAACGGUGGCUAUUUGGCUAUCGGAUAUUGGGCCAUUUUAAAUAUUUCCCACAGAAAAUGCAAAUCUCCAUGAAGAAGACAGUACACUCUUGGCAGUGGGCUAAGCACAGGAGCCGCGAUCAGGGAAAUUGCAAAGAGCUCGUAAAAAAAAUGGCUGAUCAUAUUUCGCUUCCAUGUCUUGCACGGAUCAGCGCCCACACUCCUUCUCGACCUUACUCCAAACGCCACGGACUUGGUCUGAGGGGACUUUAAGAGUGACACUAAAAUGUUUUAAAAAAUGAUGGAAAAUAAAGCUGGCCAAAUUAUUGUAUACAUAAA